rnacentral:rRNA from 1 species
GAUGAACGCUGGCGGCGUGCCUAAUACAUGCAAGUCGAACGCAUUGUGGUUGAAAUGAUAUGAAGAACUUGUUCAGAUUUGAUUUUCAACAUUGCAAUGAGUGGCGAACGGGUGAGUAACACGUGGGAAACCUACCUCUUAGCAGGGGAUAACAUUUGGAAACAAAUGCUAAUACCGUAUAAUAAUUAAAACCGCAUGGUUUUAGUUUAAAAGAUGGUCUUGCUAUCACUAAGAGAUGGUCCCGCGGUGUAUUAGUUAGUUGGUGAGGUAAUGGCUCACCAAGACAAUGAUACAUAGCCGAGUUGAGAGACUGACCGGCCACAAUGGGACUGAGACACGGCCCAUACUCCUACGGGAGGCAGCAGUAGGGAAUCUUCCACAAUGGACGAAAGUACUGAUGGAGCAACGCCGCGUGUGUGAUGAAGGGUUUCGGCUCGUAAAACACUGUUGUAAGAGAAGAAUGACAUUGAGAGUAACUGUUCAAUGUGUGACGGUAUCUU